UGCGUAGGCGGUCUGGUCAGUCGGAUGUGAAAGCCCCGGGCUUAACCUGGGAAUUGCAUUCGAUACUGCCAGGCUAGAAUGUUGGAGAGGGAAGUGGAAUUUCCGGUGUAGCGGUGAAAUGCGUAGAGAUCGGAAGGAACACCAGUGGCGAAGGCGGCUUCCUGGCCAAACAUUGACGCUGAGGUGCGAAAGCGUGGGUAGCGAACAGGAUUAGAUACCCUGGUAGUCC
rnacentral:rRNA from 1 species